rnacentral:rRNA from 1 species
GACGAACGCUGGCGGCGUGCUUAACACAUGCAAGUCGAACGGAAAGGCCCUGCUUUUGUGGGGUGCUCGAGUGGCGAACGGGUGAGUAACACGUGAGUAACCUGCCCUUGACUUUGGGAUAACUUCAGGAAACUGGGGCUAAUACCGGAUAGGAGCUCCUGCUGCAUGGUGGGGGUUGGAAAGUUUCGGCGGUUGGGGAUGGACUCGCGGCUUAUCAGCUUGUUGGUGGGGUAGUGGCUUACCAAGGCUUUGACGGGUAGCCGGCCUGAGAGGGUGACCGGCAACAUGGGGACGGGGAUACGGCCCAGACUCCUACGGGAGGCAGCAGUGGGGAAUAUUGCACAAUGGGCGGAAGCCGGAUGCAGCAACGCCGCGUGCGGGAUGACGGCCUUCGGGUGGUAAACCGCUUUCGCCUGUGACGAAGCGUGAGUGACGGUAAUGGGUAAAGAAGCACCGGCUAACUACGU